UCCGCCUUGGUGUAACUGGCAGCACUGCUCGUUUUGGUCGAGUCGGGUCCAGGUUCGAAUCCUGGGGGCGGAG
rnacentral:tRNA from 1 species